AUUGAACGCUGGCGGCAGGCCUAACACAUGCAAGUCGAACGAGUGGCGGACGGGUGAGUAAUGUCUGGGAAACUGCCUGAUGGAGGGGGUUCACUACUGGAAACGGUAGCUAAUACCGCAUACCAUCGGAUGUGCCCAGAUGGGAUUAGCUAGUAGGUGGGGUAAAGGCUCACCUAGGCGACGAUCCCUAGCUGUUCUGAGAGGAGGACCAGCCAAACUGGAAUGAGGAACCGGGCCAGACUCCUAGGGGGGGAAGAGUGGGGUAAUAUUGCACAAUGGGCGCAAGCCUGAUGCACCCAUGCGGGGUGUAGGAAGAAGGCCUUCGGGUUGUAAAGUACUUUCAGCGGGGAGGCGUUACCCGAAGAAGAAGCACCGGUUAACUCCGUGCCAGCAGCGCGGUAAUAC
rnacentral:rRNA from 1 species